UACGUAGGUGGCAAGCGUUGUCCGGAUUUACUGGGCGUAAAGGAUGCGUAGGCGGACAUUUAAGUCAGAUGUGAAAUACCCGAGCUUAACUUGGGUGUUGCAUUUGAAACUGGGUGUCUAGAGUGCAGGAGAGGUAAGUGGAAUUCCUAGUGUAGCGGUGAAAUGCGUAGAGAUUAGGAAGAACACCAGUGGCGAAGGCGACUUACUGGACUGUGACUGACGCUGAGGCAUGAAAGUGUGGGGAGCAAACAGG
rnacentral:rRNA from 1 species